rnacentral:rRNA from 2 species
GAUUCGUCACACUAUCAUUAACUGAAUCCAUAGGUUAAUGAGGCGAACCGGGGGAACUGAAACAUCUAAGUACCCCGAGGAAAAGAAAUCAACCGAGAUUCCCCCAGUAGCGGCGAGCGAACGGGGAGGAGCCCAGAGCCUGAAUCAGCAUGUGUGUUAGUGGAAGCGUCUGGAAAGGCGCGCGAUACAGGGUGACAGCCCCGUACACAAAAGCGCAUGUGCUGUGAGCUCGAUGAGUAGGGCGGGACACGUGGUAUCCUGUCUGAAUAUGGGGGGACCAUCCUCCAAGGCUAAAUACUCCUGACUGACCGAUAGUGAACCAGUACCGUGAGGGAAAGGCGAAAAGAACCCCGGCGAGGGGAGUGAAAAAGAACCUGAAACCGUGUACGUACAAGCAGUGGGAGCACCCUUUGGGGUGUGACUGCGUACCUUUUGUAUAAUGGGUCAGCGACUUAUAUUCUGUAGCAAGGUUAACCGAAUAGGGGAGCCGUAGGGAAACCGAGUCUUAACCGGGCGUUAAGUUGCAGGGUAUAGACCCGAAACCCGGUGAUCUAGCCAUGGGCAGGUUGAAGGUUGGGUAACACUAACUGGAGGACCGAACCGACUAAUGUUGAAAAAUUAGCGGAUGACCUGUGGCUGGGGGUGAAAGGCCAAUCAAACCGGGAGAUAGCUGGUUCUCCCCGAAAGCUAUUUAGGUAGCGCCUCGUGAAUUCAUCUCCGGGGGUAGAGCACUGUUUCGGCUAGGGGGCCAUCCCGGCUUACCAACCCGAUGCAAACUGCGAAUACCGGAGAAUGUUAUCACGGGAGACACACGGCGGGUGCUAACGUCCGUCGUGAAGAGGGAAACAACCCAGACCGCCAGCUAAGGUCCCAAAGUCAUGGUUAAGUGGGAAACGAUGUGGGAAGGCCCAGACAGCCAGGAUGUUGGCUUAGAAGCAGCCAUCAUUUAAAGAAAGCGUAAUAGCUCACUGGUCGAGUCGGCCUGCGCGGAAGAUGUAACGGGGCUAAACCAUGCACCGAAGCUGCGGCAGCGACACUGUGUGUUGUUGGGUAGGGGAGCGUUCUGUAAGCC